rnacentral:lncRNA from 10 species
CAAACUUCAUGUCUUUCAGAAUAUCAUCACCCUUGCAGAAACUGGCUCUCUGGACUUCAGAACAUUUUGUACAUCAUGUCUUGUGAGUUUUUUCAUAUAAUUUUUUUCCGUAGUGAAAGCAAAGUCUUGGUAACGUUGCUGAUGUAAGCAUUUGUCAGAUCUUCAUGGUAUAUUUAUACACCUUUGUUUUUACCCAUUUCUAAUUUUACAUUCCUGUCUGAACAGCUUUCUGUCUUGAACAUAUGGCAGAAUGAUGUUUAUAAUCUCUUGAAGUUGUCUCUGGUUACAUCUCUCCGUGAAUUAUCCAUUGUGUGUUUUAUUUGCUUUUCUCUGUCAUGAAGCAUAUAUUAGAACUAACGUCAAAUCAGAGGCUCAUAAUGACCUUAGAAACCACUUAGUGAAACCUCUCAUUUUGCAAUUGAGGAAUCAAGGGAGGAAGUAAAUUCUCCCAAAUUAUUGGUGGUGCUAAAAAUGGAACUUGGGUUUCCUUCCCUUGGUUGAGUGCUUAUUUUGCUCUGUGGUACUGCCUCAUUUCUGCUUAGCCAGUGUGAACAGGCUCUGGAAUUCAGAUCCCACUUAGUGAUGUCCUAAUCAAAGUAGACAUAUGGAAGUAAAUACUAAUAAGGCAUUCCACAGCCUCUGUGUGAAUUGAUGGUCUGUUUAGGAUUUGUGCCAAUGCCUCUGUGACCUAAAGUUAAAAUUUUGCUUGUGAUUUGUUACCACUUUGAGACACUGGUUUUUGCUUAGGCCUCUCUUAAUUGCCCACUUAGAUAAGGAAGCCAUUAAGGUCACUCCACUGCCAUGUAUGCAACUGCUGUGUGGCUCGAUAUGAUCAACACUGCCUGUGGACUGGACGGUGCAUAGGUUUUGGCAACCAUCACUAUUACAUAUUCUUCUUGUUUUUCCUUUCCAUGGUAUGUGGCUGGAUUAUAUAUGGAUCUUUCAUCUGUAAGUGUAAAUUUUUCUUACAACAAGCACAUACAUCUACACCCAUUUCUACUUUUCCUUGUAAACCCUUGUAUAUCACAUUCUGGCUGGGUGACUAUAAACCAUACUCCUAAUAAAAACAAAGCAAAUGCCUCUAAGACUCCCUCAGCAUUGGGAAGCUGCAAGAAAUACAAGAUGAGGUUAGUUCUCAGUACUUUAGGAAAAAAAUGUGAUAAAUUUGAAAAGUAGUCAAAAAUAGAAAUUCAUUUAAGGCAAGUGCAGAUUUGCUCCCCAGUGAAGAAGGAAAGUCAGCUGCUGAAGUACAAAGCUGGAGGUGGUAACUGAAUAAAAC